GGACGUGAGGACAACCUGGCUGUGAUGUCUGUCACCCCAUUGGUCGCCCCAGGGCUAAUUCGGCUGAUGUGGCCAGCUGGGUGGGUGUCCACUUCCUCCCUCACUGCUCCAUAUGCGUCCGUCCUGAAAGUCUCCCCUGGGUCAAAGACGAUGACAACCUUUGCCCAUAGAGGAAGGUCCUUCCAUCGCGGGCAGAAGAGAAGCUGUGCUCCCCUACUAGAACCUCCAAACAAGCUCGCAAGAAUGCUUCCUGUAGUACCCGGGACAUACGCUGUCUGAUUGUCUUAAGAUUCUACCUACUCCUUGGUACAUGUCU
rnacentral:snRNA from 10 species